UACGUAGGGUGCGAGCGUUUGUCCGGAAUUAUUGGGCGUAAAGGGCUCGUAGGCGGUCUGUUGCGUCAGGAGUGAAAACUCGGGGCUUAACCCCGAGCCUGCUUCUGAUACGGGCAGACUAGAGGUAUGCAGGGGAGAACGGAAUUCCUGGUGUAGCGGUGAAAUGCGCAGAUAUCAGGAGGAACACCGAUGGCGAAGGCAAGUCUCUGGGCAUUAACUGACGCUGAGGAGCGAAAGCAUGGGGAGCGAACAGG
rnacentral:rRNA from 1 species